UUGCACAGCUAGUCCAGCUCCUCUAGGAUGGCACAUCCGGGGCGAUCGUGGCUCAAGAGUUGGGAGUCCGCCUUGUAAUCGGAAGGUUGCCGGUUCGAGCCCCGGCUUGGACAGUCUCGGUCGUUGUGUCCUUGGGCAAGACAUUUCACCCGUUGCCUACUGGUGGUGGUCAGAGGGCCCAGUGGCGCCAGUGUCCGGCAGCCUCGCCUCUGUCAGUGUGCCCCAGGGUGGCUGUGGCUACAAUGUAGCUUGCCAUCACCAGUGUGUGAAUGUGUGUGUGAAUGGGUGGAUGACUGGAUAUGUAAAGCGCUUUGGGGUCCUUAGGGACUAUUAAAGCGCUAUAUAAAUACAGGUCAUUUACCAUCAAUAUGAGCCAUCGCAAGAAGGUUUGCUGUGUCUCCUAGCACAGUCUCAAGAGGAUGAAGCAGACACUAGGGGACACGCAGUUACUCUAGGUGAGCUGGACAGGGCCGUAGAAGGUCCUUAACCGAUCAGUAGGAUGGAUAUCUCCUCCCUUAUGCAAGGAGGAAGAAAAUGAGAGCUGCCAGCAGGCCACUGGUGUGAAUGUGUCUGACCAAUCAAUCAAAAACAGACUUCAUGAGGGUGGCCUGAGGGCCCAAUCUCCUCUAGCAGGCCGUGCUGGCUGCCUGGCACCAUGGAGCCUGAUCGGCAUUUACUCAUGCACUAUUAUCUCCUUAAAAUAGAGAAAGUAGAAAUGUUUUGGGGCCAUUUAUUCAGAAAGCAAAUGAAUAUUUUCAAUUUUAUGUCAGUUCAGUGAAGCUAAAUGUAAUUGCUUUGAAGAUAGAUGACAGAUGACGGCCACUCAUAUUUUUUUAGCAUGUUUAAUUUUAGUGGUAAUGCUCUUGACAGACAUGGCUUCUUCAUCAACACUUAGUGACAUUUGUGACCACGUCAGUCUUCCUUUAAUAGAUCCAUACUACUUUGGACUAUGUCCAAAAUGGUCUUCAUUCCACUCUCAGUGAAUAGCUUCUCCGAUAGGUUGAGAUCAUCGGGCAUUAUGUUGCUCAAGGACAGAUCAAUAGUCUUAGUUCCUGGGGCGAGCGCUGGAUCUGGGCAAAACCCUGCAAGAAGACAUUUGUAAAUAAAGUUCAUUCAUGUGAGAAAGAAUAAAUUUGAUUAAUCUAUGAACUUAUCAAACAUGGCGGUUACAAAAAUAUAAAGAGUAUAAAGAUAAUAUUAGACUGAAGAAGUAAUAUUCAGUUCAACUGCAGUUUCUAAGCUUUCUUAUUAUAUAAAGGUUCAUACCUUUUUCUGAAUCCAAGAUAGCAGGGGAUUCUAGGUUCAGACACUCUGCCUGCUUUGUAAACUCUUCCAGCUCAGCAGCAGACACUUUAACUCUCCUACCUGAGAGACAGAAAAAGUGUUAGCACGGGGCCUACGCAGUGACACCAAGUAAAUAAAGAGAUUAAAACACAAAGAAACGACUGCUGUUGCUACUUCAGGACCUGGAACACUUGCUGUAAUUGAAGGAACCAUGAUAUUGAAGGAGAAUUUGUGGCCAUGAGCACAUGAGCAAGGCCACCUCUGAAUGGCUUUUAAAAUCCGUUCAUGCUUGAAAAUCCAAUCCAGUGCGGCUGAAUUGAAGGGAUUCUACAUAGUAGAGUUUUGAAAAAUUCUUCCACAGCAAUGCGAAAGACUCAUUGCCAAUCACUGCAAAUGCUUGAUUUCAGUUCUUGCUAACCAGUUGUUAGAUUUAGAGACAAUUACAGUUUCACACAGUAAAUGAAAUAUUUCUUUAAGAACUGUGUUUUGUAUUUGCUUGGGUUAUCUUUGUCAAAUAUACAAAUUUAUUUGACGAUCUGAAACAUGUAAGUGUGACUAGUACACAAAAUAGAGAGAAACCAGGAAGGGGGCAAAUACAUUCAUAUCACUGCACUGUAUCUCUUUAGAUGCUUUAUUCUUUUUAAAUUUGUUUUCUGAAAAAAUGCCUUUAAUGGGCAACUAUUAUUUGUAACUGGUAUUUCAAAGGGCAGUGUUUGGAUUUGAUUCAUUAAAGCAGGGGAAACCACUGUUCAAUGAUUAAUCAUUGUUUUAACUUGGAAAUUAGUCACCACCAUCUCUUUCAGCUUUAAUAAAUUAAAUGCAUGAAGUUGGACCAUAAAAAAUGCUUAAGUACUUUGACAUUACAGUAUUUAAGUGUGUCAUUGUUCUUACUCAGGAGCUGGAGAGCUUUGACUGCGGUUCUUCCAAUGGUGUUAUUUGAGUAGAUAACAAGGCAGUCAGGACAGCCAGUAUUCAGCAGGACAGCAGAAUAUUGGUAAUUGUGCACUGUGGACAGAUGACAGAUGAUGGCCACGCUUCAUAUCCUUUUAGCAGUGGUAAGGGUAAAGGUGCAGUGUGCAAAUACACACCAAUCGAUAUAAUGAAAGUGUUGUGGCAAUGCUAGGCACAAAGUCUAAAUCUGGUCAUCCAAAUGUUUGUUCCCUCAGUAAUACUCACCCAUAUUGAGAGUGUUGUUAACCAAAGUCAUGUUGGUUUUCAAUGUGAAGCACAUGCCCAUCCUUUUAGAAGAUAAAAUUAGAGAGAUUUCUAAAUUCGGAUUAUUUGAAAACAGUAUCAGUUCAGGCAAGGCUUUAUCAUUUUUAUUACAUUUUUUGAAUUUGAAGAUUAUUGAAUGUAUUAGCCUCGUUGGCAGCAGUGAUGUUCAUCCAGGCGGUCUCCACAAGCAUCUUCGUCAGCGUUUUGGAUCCAGGUAUGCCUGUGCUCUCUGCUAUUUGUGUCCAUUUUCCCACCAGCUGAAACAGAUGGUGUAUAAUAUACAGGGGGUAAAAUAAGUAUUGAAAACAUCACCAAAUUUCUCAGUACAUGUAUUUCUAAAGGUGCUAUUGACAUAAAAUUCUCACCAGAUGUCAGUAACAAUCCAGCCAGUCCACACAUGCAAAGAAAUCAAACCAUAGAUAUUAUGUGUAAUAAUGAGAAAUGAAAGGAGGAAAAAGUAUUGAACACGCUUACUGAAAUUGUGUUUAAUACUUCAUGCAAAAGCUUUUGUUGGUAAUGACAACUUCAAGACGCCCCCUACCCGCAGACAUCGCUCAGGUGUGAUUUUGGUUCAUUCUUCCACACCAACGGUCUUCAAAUCCUGUGUUUGGAUCAUCGUCUUGCUGAAAGGUCCGUCCGCGUUUCAUCUUCAACAUCCUGGUAGAUGCUAGCAGAACAUUUUUCCAUUCAUCUUCCUCUAUUUAUAUGAAAGAUGCCAGUGCCACAUGACGAAAAACAGCCCCAUACUGUGAUGUUCCCAACUCCAAACUUCACUGCUGGUAUAGUGUUUUUGGUGUGGUAUGCAGUGCCUUUGACUUGCAGACAUGGCGUGUAUUAUAGCAUCAGUUCAGUUUUGGUCUCAACUGACCAGAGUAUAUUCUGCCAGUAUUUCUUGUCUAAAUGUUGUUCAGCAAACUUUAAACGUGCUUUAGCAUGCUUUUUCUUCAGCAAUGGAGUCUUGUAUGGUGAGGGUGCAUACAGGCCAUGGCAGAUGAGCUGAUUCCACGUCUUUUUGUAGCUCUUCGCAAGUGCUCCUUUGCUUUUGGAGAACUCUUCUGAUAAUUCUUUUCACUCCCCUGUCUGAAAACUGGCGGGGAGCAGCUGGUUCUGGCCGCUUUAUGGUGAAAUUAUGUUCUGUCCUGCCCCAACAGUGCUCACUGGAACCUUCAGUAGUUUAAUUCUUCCAUGACCAAUGCCAUCAAUUUGUUUUGCAACAAUAAGAUUAUGAAGGUCUUAAGGGACCUCAUUGGUUUUAUCCAUCAUGAGAUGUUUCUUGUGUGACCCCUUCCUUCUUCUUCUUCUUCUUGUAAGUGUGAUUGGCAGUUGGCAAACAACUGCAUGGUGCAUUGCCACCACCACUGGUAUGGAGUGUGGACAGGAUUAAAAAAAUAAAUUAAAUUAAAUUUUAAAAAAAAAUUUUUUUUAAAAACAACCACUUCAUAUCCUUCCAAACAAUCUUCCUUCUCUCAAAAACUGAAACAAAGCCUGAUAACUUUUAUUCCUCAACUCCUUUUGUAAUAACUUAAUAAGAUCCAAUUUCAUGUUAAUGUUACUGAGACUUAGGACCAGUUGUCUCCUCUCUACCUUAUACUUCCGACACUGCAAAAUAACAUGCUCCAAAGUUUCCUCCUCUCCACAACAAUCACAUUUCCCUGAAUUAUGUUUCCGAAUCAAGAAUAGUGUAGAAUUCAAUCCUGUAUGUCCAAAUCUCAGUCUUGACACCACCCCCCCUCUCCUACUCCUUACUGUGGCUCUCCUUACUCCCACCCCGCUUUGAAUUUUAUAUAACCACCUUCCCCACCUUUCUUCUACCCACUGUUUCUGCCAUCUACCCCUCAUUUCUAGCUUAAUAAUACUCUUAACUUCCGCCUGAUCAAAACUCACUGCCAGAUCAACUAUCCUAUGAUUAGUGGCUUCCUUUGCUAACCUUUCCUCUGCUUCAUUCCCCCAUACCCCAUAGUGAGCUGGGACCCAUACACACACUACUGACAGACCCAUCAUAUGUAUUCUGAAAAGAGUUUGCUGAAUCUCUAUUAAAAUAUCUGAUCUACCUUCCAAAUGACCUUUCUGUCGACUGACCAAGGCUGCUCUUGAAUCUGAACAAAUAAUUGCUUUCAACGGCCUCAACUCUUCCACCCACUGAACCGCUAAUAGAAUUGCUAUCAUUUCUCCUGUAAACACAGACAAUCCAUCAUUAAUUCUUUCCUAAUUUCUACCAUAAAGUCCAGAAUUACUACUGCUACCCCCACUUGACUAGCUGGAUUCUUUGAAGCAUCUGUAUAUACUUGCACAUACCCACAAUACUGUUCAAUGUAACCCUGAACUGAAUUUCUGGUGCAAUAAAGCAAAAUCUACAGUUGCUUCAGGAAGUAUCUGUGGAGGGAUUGCAGGCCAUAGCACUCGCUGACAUAUGUCUAACUGAUCUAAUUUAAGUUCUCUAGCUCUUCCCCCCACCACCCAUCCAAAGCUCUUUAACUCCCUCCUGCCUUUCUCCCAGCAAGGUUUAAGUACUUCUAGUGUAGGGUGAUCCUUCCCCUGACCCUGUAAGUUUGCCCAAUAAGUCAAUCUAAGCUGUUCCCUCCUCAGCCCUAGUGCCAUUUCCUCCAUCUCCACCUGCAAGGUUACAGUAGGAGUUUGUGUGACACCUUGGUAAUGAGACAUCUUUUUAUAGGCCAUCAGUUAGAAUAGAACCAAGUGAUAUUAAUUUGCACUAGGGGGCAGGAUUGCUUUCUAAUUGCUGAUAGAUUUCAGCUGGUGUCAUGACAUUCCAUGCCUUUUUGCACCUUCCCUUCAUGUGUUCAAUAGUUUUACUUGUGUCAUCUUAUUAUUACACAUAGCUUAAUUUAUGGAUAUCGAUGGUUUGAUUUCUUUGCAUGUGUGGACUGGAUGGGUGGUUACCCACAUCUGGUGUAAAUUUCAUGUAAAUUUGGUGACGUGUUCAAAACCUAUUUUACUCAGUGUGUAUGUGCAGAAAGUGAUAAGUGAAAGGUGAGAUAAGAGAGAGUCUGACCUGAUUUCCGUGGAUUUCACGAAGCUGGAUUAGAUUCUCACAGCUUGUCACAGGAGCUGAGUGUCCAAGAGACAGAAGACCAAGCACAGCUACAGCAACGUGAACAAACUCCAUCAUGGCUCAUCUGCUGAUAGUGUGGCUUCAGACUUUGAAGUGUGUUCUAGACAUACGAGACUCAGCCCAGUUUAGAUAGAAGCUGAGGCCAGGAGAGAGGCUUCAAGAGGACCAGUGAGGAGCAGAGAUCACCUCCAGCACAGCUGACAACCCACAGAGGGCUGUGCCACUUGAUCGAGAGGGGAUUGUGGACAACAGUGAAAUCCAGAAGAAAGACAUUCAACGUUGACGUUGAGGAGGACAACUAGGGUGUAAGACUUGCUCUGCCCUAAAUCUUCAGCGGCGUUGGAACGGGAAACUGAAGGAUGAAGGGAGCGUGCCAAGCUCCAAUCGACAGCGCAC
ensembl:lncRNA